ensembl:lncRNA
AACAACAGCUUAUCAGGCUUAAACGUGCUGCUGUUGUUUAACGCGACAUCCGCUGCUUUUUUCUUUCUGGGGCACAGUGGGCAAUAAACAAACAAGAGAGAAAAGCCGAUCAGCUGAUCAUUGAUCAGUUUCAUGAAUGAAGUAGCAACAGGAGAGGGAGGGAGAGAGAAUGAGAGGAGAAGAGGCAGAUGUGCAGCGUAAACACAGAAUAACUCCAGCUUUGUGUCUUUUUCCAUUCUAGUUGAAGUCCAGGACAAACUGUGUUCCUUUUCAAAAUAUUUUGUGUAAUAGUUUUUCUGAAUACGAGAUGAUUCUGUUUUUUACGGAACGGCUGGAAACUAACCUUAUGAAAAAAUAAAGUUCACUAUCAGUAACAUCAUAGCACCCACCCAGCUGUAUAGAAACUCCGUCAUGCUAGCUAGUACCAGUAUGAGUUAUUGUAACUGACUGUAAAAAGUCAGCAUAACGAAAGUAAACUACACCUAAAUUUGGUUAAUAUCUGACCCAGACAGACUGCAGGUCAUAACUUCUCUCCUCGGGUCUCUCCUCCUCCUGCCUCACCUGCUGGCCUCCACUACUCGCUAAUGUUACUGAAUCUGCGGAAGCUCCGCAAUAGCCACCACCAAACAAUUGAGUUAUUUUUACACAUCUCCCAGCAGCUGGCCAAUCCACCAUCUUUCAGUGUUUAUACCGUUAACAACAGCUUAUCAGGCUUAUCAGGCUUAAAAAAAAGAAAAAAAUCCCCAUCGGUCCACUGGGCAAAUGCCUGGUAUGCCCGAUACCCCAUGGCCAGUCCAGCUAUGAUCGUGCAGCGUUUAAAGCGUGGAAGUACUGACCUUACUUUGAGUUUGAUUCCGUAAAAAGUGACAAAAACAUUUUACAGCAAAAAAACCCCUAAACUUCCGAGCAAGCACCAAGCACGCUGCCACGGGAAUGUGAAAUUCACAGAGAAACUCGCAGAUUCUUCCACUGACGGCUGUGGCACACCUGCACCAGGGCAAACAUCCGCCUGCCCCACUCCUGCUAUACAGGUGAAAAUAGAGCAACAGGACCGCUGAGUCUUUGAUUUUAUUUAUCUUCUGCUGUGUUUUACUUGCAUUUAUUUGAAAGACUGAGUGUAAACACAAAAAACUAUUUUAUUUUAUGUGCUGGAAUAUGCAGAAAAUAGGUUAAACAAAU